UACGUAGGGGGCUAGCGUUGUCCGGAAUCAUUGGGCGUAAAGAGCGUGUAGGCGGCCCGGUAAGUCCGCUGUGAAAGUCGGGGGCUCAACCCUCGAAUGCCGGUGGAUACUGUCGGGCUAGAGUGCGGAAGAGGCAAGUGGAAUUCCCGGUGUAGCGGUGAAAUGCGCAGAUAUCGGGAGGAACACCAAUGGCGAAGGCAGCUUGCUGGGACGGUACUGACGCUGAGACGCGAAAGCGUGGGGAGCAAACAGG
rnacentral:rRNA from 1 species